CACAGGUGCCAUAUUAAGGGCAUUAGCAGCAGCUGGUGGUAUCUCCAGGCCAGUUCCCUCUGCCAGUUUAAACAUCAACUGUAAUCUAAAAUGGCUCCAAGAUCGAUUCCACUUCUAUCGAGUUCAUCAGUAUCAAGCAGCGAUGGUCCCUGCAUGAGAUCAGUCCUCUCAGUGACAUUUCCAACCUAAAAAGGGUCAUCUCCAACGUAGCAACCAAUGCUGUCCCUUGACAAUGAUCCAACAUACAUAAUCAGUUACCUUCAUGGGUCGUCCAGCAAGUUCAAAC